rnacentral:rRNA from 1 species
GAUGAACGCUGGCGGCGUGCCUAAUACAUGCAAGUCGAGCGAACGGAUGAGAAGCUUGCUCCUCUGAUGUUAGCGGCGGACGGGUGAGUAACACGUGGAUAACCUACCUAUAAGACUGGGAUAACUUCGGGAAACCGGAGCUAAUACCGGAUAAUAUUUUGAACCGCAUGGUUCAAAAGUGAAAGACGGUCUUGCUGUCACUUAUAGAUGGAUCAGCGCUGGAUUAGCUAGUUGGUAAGGUAAAGGCUUACCAAGGCAACGAUGCAUAGCCGACCUGAGAGGGUGGACGGACACACUGGAACUGAGGCACGUUCCAGACUCCGACGGGAGGCAGCAGUAGGGAAUCUUCCGCAAUGGGCGAAAGCCUGACGUUGCAACGCCGCGUGAGUGAUGAUGGUCUUCGGAUCGGAAAACUCUGUUAUUAGGGAAGAACAUAUGUGUAAGUAACUGUGCACAUCUUGACGGUACCUAAUCAGAAAGCCACGGCUAACUACGUG